CUGAAUCAGUGUGUGUGUUAGUGGAAGCGUCUGGAAAGGCGCGCGAUACAGGGUGACAGCCCCGUACACAAAAAUGCACAUACUGUGAGCUCGAUGAGUAGGGCGGGACACGUGGUAUCCUGUCUGAAUAUGGGGGGACCAUCCUCCAAGGCUAAAUACUCCUGACUGACCGAUAGUGAACCAGUACCGUGAGGGAAAGGCGAAAAGAACCCCGGCGAGGGGAGUGAAAAAGAACCUGAAACCGU
rnacentral:rRNA from 1 species